GGAGUAGGAUUAGUCAGAGUUGAACUGCGCGUGAUGCUUCCGCAACAGAAGCCUUGGCCACUCCAUGAGGAAUUCUGAACCUUGCCAUGACCCUUCAGAUAUGUCCUUUUGUACUUCUGAAUUGAGCAGUCAAUGAGUAUCUGCUUUCUCCAGCAUUAGGGGAAGCAAGGUGGCUUUGCUUGGCUGAGGACAAUAAGCUCGCCUGCUACUAGGUUUCUUAUUCUCUGUCGUGCUAGUAUGAACUUUUGCACAUGAAAUUGGCACUGGUAAGGUUUUAAAAGAAUGGGCAGAAUUAGAUGAGACCUUUUCAGGUCUUAACUUGAAACUGGGCUAGCAUCACAUCUGCUGCAUUCUAUAGGACAGAGCAAGUCACAAGGCCAGUACAUUUCUGAGAACUGGAUCAAGACUCCACCACACACUUGCAGGUGUGAGAGGCUGCCUUAUGAAAACUCACAUUCAAAGGGACACAAAUCAAAAUUACUCAGAAUUUGAAGAGCCAGGAAAAUAUCAACUUGAGCGGGAAAAGGCAAUCAACAUAUGCUAUGCCCUUUAUUGUGCAAAACUCGGGUAGCAGGUAAACAAGAUUAACAGGGACCGCUAGGAUCAAGAAAUGGAAGAUGCCUCCCUACAUACGUCUGAGAUGAAUCCACAAAGAUAUCAAUCAUUUUGUUACCUGGAGGCCAAGGUGAUGAGAUUUGAAAUCAUCUUAUCUAAAUCCAGCACACAGUUUAUACCCACUGUACCCAUCAAAUUAUUCAAAGGUCCCUUCUGGUACAUUGCAAAAAUGGAUGCAACUUUUCCCUCCUUUUAGCUUCUUUCCUUGUGUAAUGUGACUUUGAAGCUCUUACUAUUAUAUCAAGAAAUAAAAUCUAUUGUCUCUGGAUUGGUC